rnacentral:rRNA from 1 species
CCGGCGAUUUCCGAAUGGGGAAACCCAGUGUGAUUCGUCACACUAUCAUUAACUGAAUCCAUAGGUUAAUGAGGCGAACCGGGGGAACUGAAACAUCUAAGUACCCCGAGGAAAAGAAAUCAACCGAGAUUCCCCCAGUAGCGGCGAGCGAACGGGGAGGAGCCCAGAGCCUGAAUCAGUGUGUGUGUUAGUGGAAGCGUCUGGAAAGGCGCGCGAUACAGGGUGACAGCCCCGUACACAAAAAUGCACAUGCUGUGAGCUCGAUGAGUAGGGCGGGACACGUGGUAUCCUGUCUGAAUAUGGGGGGACCAUCCUCCAAGGCUAAAUACUCCUGACUGACCGAUAGUGAACCAGUACCGUGAGGGAAAGGCGAAAAGAACCCCGGCGAGGGGAGUGAAAAAGAACCUGAAACCGUGUACGUACAAGCAGUGGGAGCCUCUUAAUGGGGUGACUGCGUACCUUUUGUAUAAUGGGUCAGCGACUUAUAUUCUGUAGCAAGGUUAACCGAAUAGGGGAGCCGAAGGGAAACCGAGUCUUAACUGGGCGUUAAGUUGCAGGGUAUAGACCCGAAACCCGGUGAUCUAGCCAUGGGCAGGUUGAAGGUUGGGUAACACUAACUGGAGGACCGAACCGACUAAUGUUGAAAAAUUAGCGGAUGACUUGUGGCUGGGGGUGAAAGGCCAAUCAAACCGGGAGAUAGCUGGUUCUCCCCGAAAGCUAUUUAGGUAGCGCCUCGUGAAUUCAUCUCCGGGGGUAGAGCACUGUUUCGGCAAGGGGGUCAUCCCGACUUACCAACCCGAUGCAAACUGCGAAUACCGGAGAAUGUUAUCACGGGAGACACACGGCGGGUGCUAACGUCCGUCGUGAAGAGGGAAACAACCCAGACCGCCAGCUAAGGUCCCAAAGUCAUGGUUAAGUGGGAAACGAUGUGGGAAGGCCCAGACAGCCAGGAUGUUGGCUUAGAAGCAGCCAUCAUUUAAAGAAAGCGUAAUAGCUCACUGGUCGAGUCGGCCUGCGCGGAAGAUGUAACGGGGCUAAACCAUGCACCGAAGCUGCGGCAGCGACACUAUGUGUUGUUGGGUAGGGGAGCGUUCUGUAAGCCUGUGAAGGUGGCCUGUGAGGGUUGCUGGAGGUAUCAGAAGUGCGAAUGCUGACAUAAGUAACGAUAAAGCGGGUGAAAAGCCCGCUCGCCGGAAGACCAAGGGUUCCUGUCCAACGUUAAUCGGGGCAGGGUGAGUCGACCCCUAAGGCGAGGCCGAAAGGCGUAGUCGAUGGGAAACAGGUUAAUAUUCCUGUACUUGGUGUUACUGCGAAGGGGGGACGGAGAAGGCUAUGUUGGCCGGGCGACGGUUGUCCCGGUUUAAGCGUGUAGGCUGGUUUUCCAGGCAAAUCCGGAAAACCAAGGCUGAGGCGUGAUGACGAGGCACUACGGUGCUGAAGUGACAAAUGCCCUGCUUCCAGGAAAAGCCUCUAAGCAUCAGGUAACAUCAAAUCGUACCCCAAACCGACACAGGUGGUCAGGUAGAGAAUACCAAGGCGCUUGAGAGAACUCGGGUGAAGGAACUAGGCAAAAUGGUGCCGUAACUUCGGGAGAAGGCACGCUGAUAUGUAGGUGAAGCGACUUGCUCGUGGAGCUGAAAUCAGUCGAAGAUACCAGCUGGCUGCAACUGUUUAUUAAAAACACAGCACUGUGCAAACACGAAAGUGGACGUAUACGGUGUGACGCCUGCCCGGUGCCGGAAGGUUAAUUGAUGGGGUUAGCGGUAACGCGAAGCUCUUGAUCGAAGCCCCGGUAAACGGCGGCCGUAACUAUAACGGUCCUAAGGUAGCGAAAUUCCUUGUCGGGUAAGUUCCGACCUGCACGAAUGGCGUAAUGAUGGCCAGGCUGUCUCCACCCGAGACUCAGUGAAAUUGAACUCGCUGUGAAGAUGCAGUGUACCCGCGGCAAGACGGAAAGACCCCGUGAACCUUUACUAUAGCUUGACACUGAACAUUGAGCCUUGAUGUGUAGGAUAGGUGGGAGGCUUUGAAGUGUGGACGCCAGUCUGCAUGGAGCCGACCUUGAAAUACCACCCUUUAAUGUUUGAUGUUCUAACGUUGGCCCCUAAUCGGGGUUGCGGACAGUGUCUGGUGGGUAGUUUGACUGGGGCGGUCUCCUCCUAAAGAGUAACGGAGGAGCACGAAGGUUGGCUAAUCCUGGUCGGACAUCAGGAGGUUAGUGCAAUGGCAUAAGCCAGCUUGACUGCGAGCGUGACGGCGCGAGCAGGUGCGAAAGCAGGUCAUAGUGAUCCGGUGGUUCUGAAUGGAAGGGCCAUCGCUCAACGGAUAAAAGGUACUCCGGGGAUAACAGGCUGAUACCGCCCAAGAGUUCAUAUCGACGGCGGUGUUUGGCACCUCGAUGUCGGCUCAUCACAUCCUGGGGCUGAAGUAGGUCCCAAGGGUAUGGCUGUUCGCCAUUUAAAGUGGUACGCGAGCUGGGUUUAGAACGUCGUGAGACAGUUCGGUCCCUAUCUGCCGUGGGCGCUGGAGAACUGAGGGGGGCUGCUCCUAGUACGAGAGGACCGGAGUGGACGCAUCACUGGUGUUCGGGUUGUCAUGCCAAUGGCACUGCCCGGUAGCUAAAUGCGGAAGAGAUAAGUGCUGAAAGCAUCUAAGCACGAAACUUGCCCCGAGAUGAGUUCUCCCUGAGACUUAGAGUCUCCUGAAGGAACGUUGAAGACGACGACGUUGAUAGGCCGGGUGUGUAAGCGCAGCGAUGCGUUGAGCUAACCGGUACUAAUGAACCGUGAGGCUUAACCUUACAACGCCGAAG